AUUGAACGCUGGCGGCAGGCCUAACACAUGCAAGUCGAGCGGAUGACGGGAGCUUGCUCCUUGAUUCAGCGGCGGACGGGUGAGUAAUGCCUAGGAAUCUGCCUGGUAGUGGGGGACAACGUUUCGAAAGGAACGCUAAUACCGCAUACGUCCUACGGGAGAAAGCAGGGGACCUUCGGGCCUUGCGCUAUCAGAUGAGCCUAGGUCGGAUUAGCUAGUUGGUGAGGUAAUGGCUCACCAAGGCGACGAUCCGUAACUGGUCUGAGAGGAUGAUCAGUCACACUGGAACUGAGACACGGUCCAGACUCCUACGGGAGGCAGCAGUAGGGAAUAUUGGACAAUGGGCGAAAGCCUGAUCCAGCCAUGCCGCGUGUGUGAAGAAGGUCUUCGGAUUGUAAAGCACUUUAAGUUGGGAGGAAGGGCAGUAAGUUAAUACCUUGCUGUUUUGACGUUACCGGCAGAAUAAGCACCGGCUAACUCUGUGCCAGCCGCCGCCGUAAGAC
rnacentral:rRNA from 1 species